rnacentral:tRNA from 1 species
UGGCCCAUGGUGUAACUGGCAACACGUCUGAUUUUGGUUCAGAAGAGUCCAGGUUCGAGCCCUGGUGGGCCAA